rnacentral:tRNA from 1 species
GCGUCAAUAGCUCAAUAGGAGAGCGCCGUCCUGACACGACGGAGGCCGGCGGGGCAGAACCGUCUUGGCGCA